ACGAACGCUGGCGGCAUGCCUCAUACAUGCAAGUCGAACGCCCCGCAAGGGGAGUGGCGGAAGGGUGAGUAACGCGUAGGAAUCUGCCUUGGAUUGGGGGAUAACCUGGGGAAACUCGGGCUAACACCGCAUAUUGCCGAGAGGUGAAAAAUUUAUUGAUCCAAGAUGAGCCUGCGUAUGAUUAGCUAGUUGGUAGGGUAAUGGCCUACCAAGGCUUCGAUCAUUAGCUGGUCUGAGAGGAUGAUCAGCCACAAUGGAACUGAGACACGGUCCAUACUUCUACGGAAGGCAGCAGUAGGGAAUUUUGCGCAAUGGACGAAAGUCUGACGCAGCAAUGCCGCGUGUAGGAAGAAGCAUCUUGGUGUGUAAACUACUGUCGGUGGGGAAAAACAAAAUGAUUGUACCCGCAAAGGAAGCAUCGGCUAACUACGU
rnacentral:rRNA from 1 species